rnacentral:rRNA from 1 species
UACGAAGGGGCUAGCGUUGCUCGGAAUCACUGGGCGUAAAGCGCACGUAGGCGGCUUUCUAAGUCAGGGGUGAAAUCCUGGAGCUCAACUCCAGAACUGCCUUUGAUACUGGAGAGCUUGAGUCCGGAAGAGGUGAGUGGAACUCCGAGUGUAGAGGUGAAAUUCGUAGAUAUUCGGAAGAACACCAGUGGCGAAGGCGGCUCACUGGUCCGGUACUGACGCUG